rnacentral:rRNA from 1 species
UACGUAGGAGGCAAGCGUUAUCCGGAUUUACUGGGUGUAAAGGGAGCGCAGACGGCAGUGCAAGUCUGGAGUGAAAGCCCGGGGCCCAACCCCGGAACUGCUCUGGAAACUGUGCGGCUAGAGAGUAGUUGCGGUAGGCGGAAUGUAUGGUGUAGCGGUGAAAUGCUUAGAGAUCAUACAGAACACCGAUUGCGAAGGCAGCUUACCAAGCUACUUCUGACGUUGAGGCACGAAAGCGUGGGGAGCAAACAGG